CCUUCUGCGUCCACCCGCACGGGCGACAAUACAGCAAGGAACAAAUGAUUCAAACCCUCCUCUACAGCCUCCACCUGUGAACCCGAACGAGGUGGAAACCGCUCGGAUGCGUAGCUGGCCUUAGACAGAAACUCUUCAUGAUCAAGGACCCGUUCUUCAUUUUUUUUUUUUUUUUAAAGAGAAAUUCGGUGUAAAUCCAGUAAACAUCAGAAAAUUCCAGACACUGAACGGAAAUGAACUCUUGCUAUGACUUGAAUGUGGAAUAUUUUCCACAGGCUCAUAGGCUCAAACACUUGGUCUCCAACCAACAGCAGGGACCCUCGCCGAUGGAUGGAGGAUACUGUGGACAAGCAUCUGAAGGAGGCGGUGUGGGGGCCUUCUUCUGGCCUAGUUCUCGACUUCUUGGCUGGUCGAGAUGUGAGCAGGGCCAUGCAGCCCGUCUUCCCUGCCUGAUGCUCAGUAAUAUCUCAAGUGUGAAUCAGAAUGAGCCUCUCUUCCUAGGAGUUGCUUUGUCUGCUAUUUUGUCCUAGUCACGAGAGAAGGAACCACCACAACGCUGGGACCUAGACCAUCUUCCCACAGGAAGCAGUCGCAAAGAAUCUCCUGCCUGUAAUCGCCCUUUAAUUAGCUGACAGAGGAGCCCGGCCACAUGCUUGGAGGAUAAAGACACUGCUGGCAAGCCUUAGGAGUUUGAAUCCCAGGUACUUUGUGGUGGAAGGAGGCAAUCAACUCCCACAGACCGCCCUCUGACCUCCAAACGUGCACGCAUGGGCGCCUGCAUGCGAGUGUGAGCGCACAGAUGUUCCGUCUUACACACUCCUUAGGCUUUUCACUGCAGAAUAAAGUCUAGCCUGUGAUAAGAGAACUGUGUCCUGAGCCUGAUUUCUCCAUACGCCCCUAAGCUCUGGCCACACGUUUCAGCUUCUUGCCUUUGUAUAUAGAGUUCAUUCUGCCAGGAAUGUCUUCUCUCUCACCCUGGAAACUCCUCCCUCGGUGCAUAUGACCUCGUUCCAGAGUCACUGUGCUACCGAGCCCUUUCAGGUCAUGUUCUGGGAGAACAAGCUGCUCGCUCCUCUGCUGGCACAUACUGCUUAUUCCGACAGCACAGUGCCUGCUCAAAGUUAUUAUCUUCUGUCUUUGCCACUUGAGUCCAAAAGCAAGGUCUGAAUCUUGCUUAGCUCUGGAUAUCAUGGAACCUGGAGCUAUAUGCCAGAUAGUAAUAGGACCUCAAUAUGUUUGUAUUUUUAGAAUCAAUUAGUCUAUAGAAUGGCUACAAAAAGUGAGAAUCUGGUUGUGUGCCAAACUGCUAUACAGAAUAUGAACUGUGUAGAAUACGAUUGUUAUGUUCCCAACUACAUGUCAGGAUCCAUCUUUACUUUAAAAGAAGAACAGAAAACACCAGAAGUCACCAUUUUUGUUUAAGUG
rnacentral:lncRNA from 1 species